rfam:Otolemur garnettii contig054481, whole genome shotgun sequence.
AUAUUCACUUCGGCAGCACAUAUACUAGAAUUGGAACAACACGGAGAAGAUUAGCAUGGCCCUUGCGCACAGACUUUUCUCCAAAAAAGAUAUACAAAUGGCU